UGUAAAGGAAACCACCUAAAAACGCCACGUUCUGUGGCAACGGCGGCAUUAGUACGUCCUGUACG
rnacentral:sRNA from 1 species